rnacentral:rRNA from 1 species
GAUGAACGCUGGCGGCGUGCCUAAUACAUGCAAGUCGAGCGAACAGACGAGGAGCUUGCUCCUCUGACGUUAGCGGCGGACGGGUGAGUAACACGUGGAUAACCUACCUAUAAGACUGGGAUAACUUCGGGAAACCGGAGCUAAUACCGGAUAAUAUAUUGAACCGCAUGGUUCAAUAGUGAAAGACGGUUUUGCUGUCACUUAUAGAUGGAUCCGCGCCGCAUUAGCUAGUUGGUAAGGUAACGGCUUACCAAGGCAACGAUGCGUAGCCGACCUGAGAGGGUGAUCGGCCACACUGGAACUGAGACACGGUCCAGACUCCUACGGGAGGCAGCAGUAGGGAAUCUUCCACAAUGGGCGAAAGCCUGACGGAGCAACGCCGCGUGAGUGAUGAAGGUCUUCGGAUCGUAAAACUCUGUUAUUAGGGAAGAACAACUGUGUAAGUAACUAUGCACGUCUUGACGGUACCUAAUCAGAAAGCCACGGCUAACUACGUG